rnacentral:rRNA from 1 species
GACGAACGCUGGCGGCGUGCUUAACACAUGCAAGUCGAACGGAAAGGCCCUGCUUUUGUGGGGUGCUCGAGUGGCGAACGGGUGAGUAACACGUGAGCAACCUGCCCUUGACUUUGGGAUAACUUCAGGAAACUGGGGCUAAUACCGGAUAGGAGCUCCUGCUGCAUGGUGGGGGUUGGAAAGUUUCGGCGGUUGGGGAUGGACUCGCGGCUUAUCAGCUUGUUGGUGGGGUAGUGGCUUACCAAGGCUUUGACGGGUAGCCGGCCUGAGAGGGUGACCGGCCACAUUGGGACUGAGAUACGGCCCAGACUCCUACGGGAGGCAGCAGUGGGGAAUAUUGCACAAUGGGCGGAAGCCAGAUGCAGCAACGCCGCGUGCGGGAUGACGGCCUUCGGGUUGUAAACCGCUUUCGCCUGUGACGAAGCGUGAGUGACGGUAAUGGGUAAAGAAGCACCGGCUAACUACGUG